rnacentral:rRNA from 1 species
UACCGACUCCAAGAGUGUGUAUGAGAGAUGCUGCAGUUAAAAAGUCCGUAGUCAUAGAAAGAUAAACAGAGAUGAGAAGUCUCUUAAGUUAGCAGUGGAAAAGCCGAUGGGGAACAUAGUAUACCAGGGCGAGAGAUGAAAUGCCAAGACCCCUGGUGGACUGAGCGAGGCGAAAGCGAUGUUCUUGUAGGUGUUUGAUGAUCAAGGACGAAGGCUGGAGUAUCGAAAGUG